rnacentral:rRNA from 1 species
GAUGAACGCUGGCGGCGUGCCUAAUACAUGCAAGUCGAACGCGACCAAUCAGCAAUGAGAGGGAGAGUGGCGGACGGGUGAGUAACACAUGGCUGACCUGCCCUUCAGAGGGGGACAACCGCUGGAAACGGCGGCUAAUACCCCAUACGCUCGUGAGGAUUAGAGGGCUCAUGAGGAAAGCCUUAGGGUGCUGAAGGAGGGGGCUGUGGCCCAUCAGCUAGUUGGUAGGGUAACGGCCUACCAAGGCGAGGACGGGUAGGGGGCCUGAGAGGGUGACCCCCCACACGGGCACUGAGAUACGGGCCCGACUCCUACGGGUGGCAG